rnacentral:rRNA from 1 species
GACGAACGCUGGCGGCGUGCUUAACACAUGCAAGUCGAACGGAAAGGCCCUGCUUUUGUGGGGUGCUCGAGUGGCGAACGGGUGAGUAACACGUGAGUAACCUGCCCUUGACUUUGGGAUAACUUCAGGAAACUGGGGCUAAUACCGGAUAGGAGCUCCUGCUGCAUGGUGGGGGUUGGAAAGUUUCGGCGUUUGGGGAUGGACUCGCGGCUUAUCAGCUUGUUGGUGGGGUAGUGGCUUACCAAGGCUUUGACGGGUAGCCGGCCUGGAAGGGUGACCGGCCCCAUGGGACUGCGGGAGGGACCAGGACGCAAUCGGGCGCAAUGGGGGGGAACUUUGCCAAACGGGGCCGCGUCCGGUAGGAAGAUCGCCGGGUGGGGAAACACGGCUUUUGGGUAAGAACCCGUUUGCGCCUGGCAGGACGCGUGGGGACGGUAACUGGUCAAAAAGCCACGGCUAACUACGUG